rnacentral:rRNA from 1 species
AGAACGAACGCUGGCGGCAGGCCUCAAACAUGCAAGUCUAGGGGAUGUAGCAAUACAUCACCGGCGGACGGGUGCGUAACGCGUGGGAAUGUACCUACUGGUUCGGAACAACUGCGGGAAACUGCAGCUAAUACCGAAUGUGCCCGCAAGGGGAAAGAUUUAUCGCCAGUAGAUCAGCCCGCGUAGGAUUAGCUAGUUGGUGGGGUAAUGGCCCACCAAGGCUCCGAUCCUUAGCUGUUCUGAGAGGAAGAUCAGCCACACUGGGACUGAGACACGGCCCAGACUCCUACGGGAGGCAGCAGUUGGGAAUCUUGGACAAUGGGGGAAACCCUGAUCCAGCCAUGCCGCGUGAGUGAUGAAGGCCUUCGGGUUGUAAAACUCUUUCGACGGGGACGAUAAUGACGGUACCCGUAGAAGAGCUCCGGCUAACUUCGUGCCAGCAGCCGC